rnacentral:rRNA from 1 species
UGACACUGAACAUUGAGCCUUGAUGUGUAGGAUAGGUGGGAGGCUUUGAAGUGUGGACGCCAGUCUGCAUGGAGCCGACCUUGAAAUACCACCCUUUAAUGUUUGAUGUUCUAACGUUGGCCCCUUACCGGGGUUGCGGACAGUGUCUGGUGGGUAGUUUGACUGGGGCGGUCUCCUCCUAAAGAGUAACGGAGGAGCACGAAGG